UCUCCGUUGGUGAACCAGCGGAGGGAUCAUUACCGAGUUUUCUACUCCCAAACCCCUGUGAACUUAUACCUUUACCGUUGCUUCGGCGGGUUAACGCCCCGGAAGGGCCCCCGAAAGGGAGCCGCCCCGGAACCAGGCGCCCGCCGGGGGACCCAAACUCUUGUAUUUUCUUACCUAGCAUGUCUGAGUGGAAUCAUAAACAAAUGAAUCAAAACUUUCAACAACGGAUCUCUUGGUUCUG
rnacentral:misc_RNA from 1 species